UAGAAGUAUUAUUUUGCUCAAAGCCAGAGCCAAAUCUUCUUAUCCUUUCUAUAAGCUGAUAGAGGGCACCUCGUUUUUUUGACAUCCCAUGCUCUCCAAAGCCACCUGUGUUAUGGCCAAGUCUUUCAUUGGAGUGCUGCGUAAGGUCAAUUGUCCUGUCAAUUUGAAAGAUUUUUAAGUCUUCAUCAUCUAAGGCAAUAUCUC
rnacentral:lncRNA from 1 species